rfam:Triticum aestivum genome assembly, contig: Triticum_aestivum_CS42_TGACv1_scaffold_251145_3DL
CACAUACUCCCUCCGUCCGGAAUUACUUGUCGCAGAAAUGGAUAAAAAUGAAUGUAUCUAGAAUUAAAAUACGUCUAGAUACGUCAAUUCCUUCGACAAGUAAUUUGGGACAGAGAGAGUAUUUU